UAGACCUUCAUUGCAAAAGUGUGUUUAAAUCAGUUAUUUGGUGUCAUGAAUAUAUUUAUAGUUUUAGCUAGGGUAACUUUUUAAAUGAUUUACUUUUUUAUGAAAUUCACUGAGGAUUGUCUUCCCCUUCCUCCUCUGAGGAGUGUCCACUGGUGUGCAGCUUGUCAUUUAAGCAGCAAAAGGUUACAGUCACAGAGCCUCCGUGUGGCAAAAGUUAGGAAAUAUCUAAUCAAUAGAUGGAAUUAAAAUUACGGAAUAAAAAGUUUAAGGAUAGACUACAACGACCAAGAGCCAACAGGUAGGCUGCUACUUAAUGCUCUGAUGGAGUUAUUUGUAAUGUUAGGACCCUCCCACUCUGUCUGCCGAAUUCUUUCUCUUUGCUCUUGUUUUCCUUAAUAGGAUGUCGGUGGGCGGAACCGGAAAGGUCGUCAGCGAAAUGGGACACUGUCACGAGAAUUUUUAUCUCAAUGGUUGAACUCAACUAUCACUGUAGCUUUGACCAAUUCUCAGAAGUUUGUAAGACCCUGGUUAAUGAAGAAUUAGACAAAGCCCCCAGUCUGCAAUAGGUUAGUUCCUUAUUCAGAGUACUCUGAAGUCAUAAAUGCAAACAGUCAUUUUAUAACUCCCACCUACACACACACAGUUUAUCACUUUUCUACCAGCCUGGCAGUUUCUAGCCGUUACUCUCCUCCCUAGAUUAGAGGGGCCUUGGAAGGGGCCUCUUUCCUGUUCUUUGUCUCAACUCUCACAUUACUACAUAGUAACACAAUGGUCAGGUCACACACACAUUAUGGAAUUAUGACUCGAACACAUUUCAUACAAUUAUAUGAUUUCAGGGUGGAAUCCUUUAGUCAUUACUUUAAACAUAAAUUCCUUUCAAUCCACCCUAUGACUAAAUAUUACUCACUGAUACUUCAACCUUUAUUGGAAAUAUAAAAUGUCACACAAAAUCAAAGAAAACCAAUUCAUGUAUUUACAUCAUAUACUCAUCAAUGACUGUUCUAGGCCUAUAUCCAAUUAUAACUCUUCUUUUUAGGAUUUUCAUUAUAAUCUUCAUGAAAUAAACAGUCUGUCUAAACAUUGAAGAUCGUCUCAUCCAGCAUGGGCUCCUCGGAAUUGAAGGGAUCCGAAUCAUCUAGGUUUGGAGGUGGACUUCUCCUGUGGGAACAGCACAAAGCCCAGAGCGGACACUGCCUUCCACUUCAACCCGCACUUUAAGAGAUCUCCCUGCAUCAUGUGCAAGAUGAUGCAGAGAAAGCUGCGGCAAGGAAGUUAUCCUGCAUUAGCACGCCUUCACACUGGGGUCAACCUUUGAGAUGAUCGUCCUGGUGCAGAAAGAUUAGUUUAAAGUGAGGAUGACUCUUGUGAUCAGAUUCAGAUGCCUCAUUGCCCAUAUUCGUGAAGCGUCUCAGAGUAGCAGUGCUGAUAUAGGAUCAGUUUGAACUUUUCGACCACAAUGAAUAAGAUGACAUCAUGGACUAUGGGGACCUGUUCCUAGAUCAGCACACUAAGACAUUUGUUACAUACAGCCAAAACCCUUGAUAAAUUGAAAUGUAGAACAUUCAUAAUACUUUUUCACAAAAUGUUAUUACUCCUGUGUGAACUAUGGGCUUUAUUACAAGUGGAAAAAAAAAAACUCAGCACCCCCCACGUCCAUCACCCCCAUCCCAAAACAUCUUCCAGCGUCUAUGCAUACGGACCCAGAUUCCCCUGAUCUGUAUAGCCUGUCCUGGAUCAAUGAAAAGCAGACAUUGAAUAUUCCUUUGAGCAUGGUGAAGUUAUUCAUUACAAUUUGGAAUGUGUUUUAAUACACCCAGUCACUACAAAGAUACAGGUGUCCUUCCUAACCCAGUUGAAUGAGAGGAAGGAAACCUCUCAGGGAUUUUACCAUGAGGCCAAAUGUGAUUUUAAACCAGUUACAGAGUUAAAUGGCUUUAAUAGAAGAAAAUUGAGAAUUAACAACAUUGCAGUUACUCCACAAUAAUAACCUAAAAGAUAGUGAAAAGGAGGCAUGUACAGAAUAAAAAUAUUCCAAAACAUGCAUCCUGUUUGCAUUAAGGCACUAAAGUAAAACUGGAAAAAAUAAAGGAAAUUUUGUUCUGAAUACAAAGCAUUAUGUUUGGUGCAAAUCCAACACAGCAUAUGACUGAAUACCAAUCUUGCAUUUCCUUGUUUUUGUGUUCCAGGGUUGUAUAUUCAUCAAGCACGGGGAAAGUGCUUAAUCAGUUUGCCUUCAUGACCUAGUAAUAAUUCACUAUAAUAUAUUUUUCACUUCCCUUAGUGGUUGAGGUUGACUUCAGGAGGUUUCUUAUGUUGUCUGAGGUAAAAGCCAAAUAUAUCAUGUGGUGGAUGAAUCAGAAUUAGUUGGGUAACAUAAGUAAUUAAGAUGUCAUAUCUGCAUAUUAUUCUUAUGUGAUAUACUUUUUAUUAGAAUGUAUUUCUAAUACUCUAGUGUUGGCAGUUGCAUUUCUUCCCUCAGCUGGGGCUCAGUCACGUGGGGCCCAGAGAGGGGAGAGGUCAGGCUUGUCUUUUACAUGUCUCUGGUGCUAUGCAGAAUAUCAGUGGGGAAGAGGACAGGAGGGAACAUUGUCUUCAUAUGUGAAUGUAUCUGUUAAAUCAUGUCAAGGGAUGGCGUGAUUAAGGGGGAACCAAUUACUUGUCUCCACAAUGUCUGUGCGCAAGUCACUCCUCUCAGUGAGCUUGUCCAGGAGUGGGGUCAAGAGGGGGUUUACUUGAGAUGGGAGUAUCUAGAGUUGACAAUUGAGUUAUGCCAUUGGAUAAGGUAAUGGUUCUGUGCUAUGAAGUACCAGGAACAAGAUUAGAACCUCGUCUUAGGGACCAAACUGAGCGAUAAUUUAUAGAGAAUGCUAUCUGGCUAUGGGAUACUCCUCUCUCUCAAGUAAAAGUAUUUAUUUGUGAACUGUUCCUAAGAUCUGUGGUUCGUCAUGUAGGUUGAGAGGGGUGUAUCUAGGCUGUAACAGAUCUUUGUACUUUUCUGGUCACUUUCAAUGGUUCAUUAGAUGGCACAUCAUUGAAAGUCAAAUUGCUAUUGCAAAGCUCUUAUUAAAGAUGUAGUUUAAGUAUAACUCUGACUGGUGUGUGACGUUUAACUCUCGUUUGGUAAAGCAGAAAUAAGCCACCAAUCACGUUGAGGUUGACUUUAGGAGGUGUCUUAUGUUGUCUGAGGUAAAAGCCAAAUAUAUCAGUGUUUAAUUGUGGUCUACCUCGUUCCAGCUCCAAAAGGUUGACAUGUUUUGGAUCUGUAUACAAUGACUGAGGUUUAAGUAAAGACUGUCAACUUUCAUUUGAGGGUAUUUCAUACAUAUCGGGUGAACAGUAGAAAUCAAAGCAUUUUUGUGUAUAGUCCACCAAUUUGAGUUAGAUAUAUUUAUGCCUCUAUCAUUAUUACAAUAACAGGGAAGGUUAGCAUUUUUGGUGGGGGGGGGUAUAUAUAUAUAUUUGUAAUUGUGGAUACUACAUCUAACUUUCUCCCUCAUUGUUCACGAUUCAUUCAGAACUAGCUGUAAUCCUGGUAGUAUCCACAUGAAUGUAGACAUGUUUAGAAACAGAUAUUCUAAUUUUCAAUAAAGGUGACUCCAAAAUGA